GGGCGUAAGAGCUCGUAGGCGGUCUGUUCCGCGUCCGGAGUGAAAGCCCGGGGCUUAACCCCGGGUCUGCAUUCGAUACGGGCAGACUAGAGUGUGGUAGGGGAGAUCGGAAUUCCUGGUGUAGCGGUGAAAUGCGCAGAUAUCAGGAGGAACACCGGUGGCGAAGGCGGAUCUCUGGGCCAUUACUGACGCUGAGGAGCGAAAGCGUGGGGAGCGAACAGGAUUAGAUACCCUGGUAGUCCACGCCGUAAACGGUGGGAACUAGGUGUUGGCGACAUUCCACGUCGUCGGUGCCGCAGCUAACGCAUUAAGUUCCCCGCCUGGGGAGUACGGCCGCAAGGCUAAAACUCAAG
rnacentral:rRNA from 1 species